ACGGAAGGCAGCAGUGGGGAAUAUUGGGCAAUGGGGGCAACCCUGACCCAGCGACGCCGCGUGAGUGAAGAAGUAUUUCGGUAUGUAAAGCUCUAUCAGCAGGGAAGAUAAUGACGGUACCUGACUAAGAAGCCCCGGCUAACUACGUGCCAGCAGCCGCGGUAAUACGUAGGGGGCAAGCGUUAUCCGGAUUUACUGGGUGUAAAGGGAGCGUAGGCGGCGUUGCAAGUCAGAUGUGAAACCCCGGGGCUUAACUCCGGGACUGCAUUUGAAACUGUGAUGCUAGAGUGCGGGAGAGGUAAGCGGAAUUCCUAGUGUAGCGGUGAAAUGCGUAGAUAUUAGGAAGAACACCAGUGGCGAAGGCGGCUUACUGGACCGUAACUGACGCUGAGGCUCGAAAGCGUGGGGAGCAAACAGGAUUAGAUACCCUGGUA
rnacentral:rRNA from 1 species